CGCUGAACUUAAGCAUAUCACUAAGCGGAGGAAAAGAAAUACACCGAA
rnacentral:rRNA from 1 species